rnacentral:rRNA from 1 species
UUUAGUGUGGAAUAACCCUGGGAAACCGGGGCUAAUACCGCAUAAUCCCGAGAGGGGAAAGUCGCAAGACGCUGAAAGAGGAGCCCGCGGCCGAUUAGCCAGUUGGCGGGGUAAAGGCCCACCAAAGCAUAGAUCGGUAGCCGGCCUGAGAGGGCACACGGCCACACCGGCACUGAAACACGGGCCAGACUCCUACGGGAGGCAGCAGUGGGGAAUCUUGCACAAUGGGGGAAACCCUGAUGCAGCGACGCCGCGUGAGCGAUGAAGCCCUUCGGGGCGUAAAGCUCUUUCGGCAGGGAAGAUUAUGACGGUACCUGCAGAAGCAGCUGCGGCUAACUACGUGCCAGCAGCCGCGGUAAUACGUAGGCAGCGAGCGUUGUUCGGAGUUACUGGGCGUAAAGGGUGUGUAGGCGGUUAUUUAAGUUUGGUGUGAAAUCUCCCGGCUUAACCGGGAGGGUGCGCCGAAUACUGAGUGACUAGAGUGCGGGAGAGGAGAGUGGAAUUCCUGGUGUAGCGGUGAAAUGCGUAGAUAUCAGGAGGAACACCGGCGGUGUAGACGGCUCUCUGGACCGCGACUGACGCUGAGACACGAAAGCGUGGGUAGCGAACGGGAUUAGAUACCCUGGUAGUCCACGCCCUAGACGAUGCAUAUUUGGUGUGGGCAGUUCAUUCUGUCCGUGCCGGAGCUAACGCGUUAAAUAUGCCGCCUGGGGAGUACAGUCGCAAG